GGCCUUUCUAAAGGACGUCUCAGGAGGAUCUCCUCUUCGGCACCUGUAGGCAUCUCUUCUUCUAAGCAAGGGUCUUGUCAGUGCUCCCAUGCAAACAGAAGCCUUGCUGCAAAUUUGCCCUUUAAUUUCAUCAAAGUAAACUGGAUUGUCUUAUUGGAGAUGGCAGAACUACUCCAAAUUUACUCUCUGGAUAACUGACAACAGAACAUCCCCCUUCAUUCACUGUUUAAAAAUUAGUCAUCGUGUAAUGCUGCGAUAGAUGCAAUAGAAAAAAUUUUGAGCAUCUGCUGGGGAGGAAACCUUGGAAGAAAGCCAAAAAACUGCAGUAAGAGGUGUCAUCAGUAUUCUUUUCAAGCCGGAACUGGACCAGUGACCCAAUUGCAUGCUACUUACCCCACAUCCUGGGAUACAUCCUGGGAAUGUGACACUGCAGAGCUCAGAAGUCCUAUGAGUGGACUACAGCACAUUAGGCAAAAUUAAGCAGGUAAGUAAAAAGCAGGGGGGCCACUUUCUUAAAUUGCUCUAUCUGAUUAAGGAACAGCCAAGAAACCCUUAACUUGAGCACCCCUCUUGAGAACCCAUUUUCAUGAGCAAAAGCCUCCUAACUUCCCUACCAAAAAAAUCUUCCUUUCAUGAGAUAAUAGAGAACAGCCUUGCAUACAGACGGCCCACACACUGGUGGUGGAGGUAAUUGAUGUAAAUGGCUCCAGGGCACUUUGCAGAGGAUCUCCUGAGGCUCUUCACCAUUCUCAUCAUCCAUGCUGCGUCUGAACUUGGUUAAAGAAAUACCUUCAUAAAACUUUGCCUAAGAAGCAGAGUCAAAAUGAGGUUGAGAAGCCUACACCAAACUCCRAUGCAUAAUAUUUGGAAACUGAAGGUAGGUGAUAUUACUGUUAGUCUCUUAAACA
rnacentral:lncRNA from 1 species